ensembl:lncRNA
CUCGGGAGGAGGAAUGCUUUGUCUGUGCAUCCGGAUGGGGUUAGGUGUGAGAUAUGCACUCAGCCCUGUCAGGAGCAAAAGGCUUCCAGCGCAUGUGUGCAGCAGAGCUUCAGGCACCUCAGAGCCUUCCCUGGUGCUGAGGACUGCAUGGUAAAAACAACAUGAAAGAGAGAGUUUGCAUUCAAACACCAGAUUUCCACCUAAUCCCCAGUGAUGGCACGUCUGUGAUCUGGACUUGUGUCUCAGUUACGUCAUAGGAGUUCUCUGGGUGUAGACGACGUGAAGCAUUGCAGUGACCCUUACAAAGUACUGUGUCUCAGAAUCAUCACAACAUCUAAGUUUUCCUCAAGAUUCACUGCGGCAGAGAGAAAUGAGCACACACACAUCAAUAUGCAGUACGUACCACUGCACACAGCGGUGCGUAAAUGGGUGCACAGACACCUCCUGCUCUAUGCCUAUAAUUCUCCUAAACAUUGUGGGGUGAAGGAAUGAAAAAGUUUCUGAAGAAUGGUAGAAAUUUGUCGUCGUUAGGAUAUAGCACAAACUCCUGGUUCCACCCUAAACAGAAACUUCCUUUAAUUUCUUAACGAAAAUGUUUAGAAGACCGGUUUCUUGAAUGCUCAUGCAGAGCCGAAUGGUCUUAAUUUCACUUCCUGCCUCCACUCUCAGACAGUGCAAAGCCUGAAAAUCUUCCUUGGUCUCCCAUCACAGCCCAUCUCGCAUCCCGCUGCGUCUCCGGCCCCGGAGAGCCCCGGGGCCACCCGCAAUGGCCGAGCAGGAGGGCGGCGGGGGGACGUGGGCCCCGACGUUUGCCGGCCGGGCUGAGCAGCGGGCUGGCGGGGCCGACACUCCUGCAGCGCGCACAGGGCGCUUUUCCAUUUCUUCCUUUUCUUCCUUUUUUUCCUUUUUUUCCUUUUCUUCCUUUUUUUUUUUUCCUUUUCCCUGUUUGCCUUUUUAUUUUCACGCUUUUCCUCUCUUUAGUUUUGCUUUUCUUUUUUCUUUUUCCUUCUUUUUCUUUUCCUUUUUCUAUUACUUUCCCUUUUUCUUUCUUGCUCUUUUCCUCCUUUUUCUCCUUCGUCUUUUCCUUUCCCUCCUUUUCUGCUUUUACCUCUACAUUAUCUCCUUUCUUUCUUUUUCGCCUUCUUUUUCUUUUUCCACUUUUCUCAUUUUUUUCCUCCUUUUUCUUUUAUUUUCUUUUUGUUCCUUCUUUUUUUUUCCUUUUUUU